AGUGGUGAAAGAGUUUCCAGAUACAAUCUGGAGUCACAAUAUGCCAUCUUUGAAGAACACAGAUUGACGGCAGGCAUAAUUUGGUGGAUUAACCAUCUGUCAAGCUUUGAAUCGUAAACUUCAGUGGGCAAUGACUUGUCACCAUAAAUAUCACUGGUGGCUAUUAUUUUAAACGACCUAUCCAUUCUAUCAACAACCAAUAUCAACUGCCUUUGUUGAUU
rnacentral:misc_RNA from 1 species